CUUUCUGAAAGACUUCUAUGGGAUUUCAAAAAGCCUCCAUUGGAGGGAUGAAUCACAUCGCUGUAGUCAAAAAAUAAAAAUAAAAACAGGCCGUGCAGGAGAACAAUGAAGCAUCUAAAUUUUUCAAGUGUUGCAAUCACAAGUGGGACAGGUUCUCUGACAGUACAAUACUGUGUACCAUACACAGAGGCAGAAAUACCUAACUAUUAAUCACCACCUUUCAUAUACUUAUCAAUGUCUCCUUUAAAGUAAAGGUCAUAUAACAAUUAACAACAACCUGCAGCAAUAU